AAUAGAAAAUGAUGAAUAAGAGAGUAUGCAAGCUUUAGCAAUAAUAUUGUCAGUUGUUGUGUUUGUAAGACUGAUUUGAAGAUGUAUUUAUAGUGUCAAAACCAUGCAUUACCACUGCGUAAUUGCCAAUUAAGAAUUGCUGAUUUUGUGCUAUGACAAUCGAUUGUGAAAAUGAUACAAUCGAUUGUUUGCCAAUCGUUCCAAAAAUCAUUCCCAGAUUUUACGCAUAACAAUCGAUUAUCUAAGGCAUAUAAUCGAUUACUGGCAACGUUCAAAAAAUCAUUUCCAGAU
rnacentral:lncRNA from 1 species